GGGGAAGGAAAGGACAGAGGGCUUUCAUUCCCCAUUAAGCACGUGGCAAGGUGUAUAUAAUUCAGUAGCUUGGGGGAGCAAGAGGAAUAGAAGCACGUGCUAAUGUGCAUGUAAUUCCAUAGCUUGAAGGGGACAGAAAUAGGCCCAUCCCAUGGCCUGAGAUGGAGGACGCUCUGCCUCAGGGGGUAUCUCAGAGAUGGGGGAAGGAGAGGGUAAUCCGUCCUCCUCUGCCUCCCACUCUGCCUUUCACCAGAACUUCAUCCCCUGGGAUUCCCCUCUUAGAAGAAGAGGCUGGGGAGAGAAAAUGGGAGAAGCAAAAGCAAAGAAUUAAGAGACAGGCUCAAUUAUUGGCUGCUUUACAAGGCCAACAGCCAACUCCAGGUCACCCAGGGAAUAAAAUCCUGGGAAGAUGCCACAACUGCAGAAAGUCCAGACACUAGAAGUGCAAAUGCCAGGAGAAGAAGCCACGAACACUGUGCCCCAAAUGCAAUGAGUUGGGCCAUAGGGGAAAAGACUGCCUGGAGAGCCAAAGGCCCCCUCCCAGUAAAACACCCCCAACCCAUCCUGGCUUUGAACUAAGGAAGCACAAUACUCUCUCCGGCGCCCAAAAUUAGCAUCAUCAUCAAGGGGAUGGAGCCCAAGACGACCUUGGACAUGGCUGAUUACAACAGUUCCAUGGCAAGACGAUGGUUCUUCAGGGAAUUCAACCAGUCCCUUUGGACAUAGAGACCCUAGAGAUGUACCAGUUUCCUCUUGGUGCUAUGGCUCACAGGAGCCUGUGAUCGGUGGGCCUGGGCAGGCCUGGGCGGUCUGGACGCAACCUGGGGCCAGUGUGUGGAGCUGGAGGGCUUGGUCAGGCCCUGAGACACUUUGUCAAUGGAAAACCCUCUAAAGCACUGAAGGGGGAACAGCCUCAUUUACUCCCUCCUAUAAAACUCCA